rnacentral:lncRNA from 1 species
UGACAUGUUAGAGUAUCAGGAGUUAAGAGUUACACAUCGAAGGCAUGCACGAUCGUCACAUUCAUUACAUUUAUAAGCAAAGCCAUUCGAUAUGUGCUGACAUAAGCAACAUCUAAAAAUGUAGUCUGAAGUGAGGAUGAGGACACUUUGCUGGCAAUCAUGAAACCAAACAUGCUUCAUCUUAGGUAAUUCAGCACAGGCAUUAUGAAGAAAGAAAUCACAUUCUAAACAGUAGUAAAAGGAAGCUAAGAUAGGUAACAUGCACCCCUCGCAAUACUUAUCAUACUCUGCAAUUUUCUCACUUAACAUCAACUCAUGCAUAUGCUUGAAAUGUUUUCUUUUUGUGGCUUCUCCAGCAUCAUUCUUCUCAAUAACACAAGUGAUGGAGUCAAUGGAUUCACCAGGCAAAAGUGCCAAACUAUCCUAGAUUUCUCGUCUUCAUUUUCGGGUGAAACUAUAUAAUACCAGCUUUCAACUUUUGUCACGCAAUUCACAUGGGCAAUAAUUUUGCAAUCUAAACAAUAGUAAUUGCCGUGCUCUGCAUUGACCUCAUCGUGACAAAUUGUGCAAUCCCCAUUCUUAAAAUCUUCAUCAUGAAGGAAAUAUGUGUGAAAAAUGUGAUGGUGAUGCCACCUGCUUUUGAUGAUGCGUGGCAAUGAAAUGCAUUUUUUAUGCACUAUAAUAUUGCAUGUAGUACAUAUGUAGGCAACAUAAUUUCCUUCAGUGCCACAUGCAUUACAAAUGAAAGGAGCUUGUCUCCAAAACAAGGUGAAUGGGUGUUGAUGACUUUUAUCUUCAACGAUGGGCAGGGGUGACAUACACUCAAUGUGAAAAGCAACUUUGCAAGGAAAACAAUAAUAAACAAAUCCUCCUUGUUGGGUUUCUUGGCAUAUGUUGCAAGAAAACCUAUCACUAUUGAAUUGUAGCACAAGAGGAUGUUUGCGGUGACACAUAUGAUUGAUUUUGACAGGUAAUUCAACACAUUUUUUAUGGAGAUGGAAUCCACAAUCAAGAGAAAAGUAUGUAGAACUUAGCAACGGUUUCCAACACCCGAAACACUGAAAACUUUCAAGUUCUUCACCAUCAUUUCCGGUGGAAAUCAAUGGAUCUUCAAGAGCAAACAUGUUGAAGCUCUUCAAAAAUUUUUCGAGCAAUGUUAUAUGUAAAUAAAGCACAUGUGAUAUGAAAGUCUAAUCCACAAGAGCAAUGAUAAACGAAGGCCUUACAUGUCUUAUUACAAAAAUCGCAAAUGCAGCGUACUCCUUGAGCAUAAGGUGACUUUUGCAGGAGGAGAAGCGGAUGGUUGCGAUGAAAAGGGUGAUUCAUCUCUGAGGAUGCCUCAGCACAUUCUUAUGGAGGUGAAACCCACACUCCACACAGCUAAAACUUGGAGCUGACAGUGACACCUCCUCCCCACACGUUGAGCAGUAAGCUUCUUCACUUUGAUUGCUCUGCUUUUCAAUAAACACCAGUGGAUGUUGGUGCCCAAAAUUUUCAGACUCACUCAUCUCUCUUUCCGAUUCGCACCUAUACCACAAUAGGUUCCAAAAGGAAAGGGGAACUUUGGCUAUAACAAAGAAAGAUGUAAUAGGGCCAAUGCUUAUAAAAUAAAGAGAGUGUAGUAUUUCUAAUGCUAAUACCUUAUUCCUUGCGUGCCGACACAUUCAAAAUGGAAAAAAGAAGAAAGAAUCCCACAAAGGCAGAGACCUAACUAAACCAAGAAACAAGGUAGAUGCUUUGAUGGCAGGCAUAGCAAAAUAUAACGGCAUAUAAAAGUAAAAAGCGAGUAUGAGGAUUGCAUGCUCUAUUCAAGUUUGAAACUUUUACUUUGUAAGUUUAAAGUUAGAGCAUCCCUUAGGAUACAAUGCAAGCUACUGAGGUCAAUGGUAUAACAAUUCUAGGCUCUGGCAGCAAUGAAGUUGUCUAAAUUUAAAAUCCUUCCAAUAUAUCUAAUGAAACAUGUAUGUAGAAUACAAUAUAAAUAAAUAAAUAAAAACAUUAUUAAUUUAAAUUAUUAAUUAUUAAUUUAUUACAAUAUUGAUGGACCUUGAUGUGUAUAAUUUAUUUUAUAUGAACUAAAAGAUUUGGUCUUAGGAAGAACAUAAUAUAAUGAAUACUUUUAUAAUAACCAAAACAAAUAAAAAAAACAUUAUUAAUUUAAAUUCAAAAAAUCAAGAAAUAUAAUAAAGCACUAUUAUAUAGUCAGGCUCAAGGGAAGAAUUCUUAUAUAUUUUGUGUCUUCCUAAUUAAGGAAAUUGAAGGAGGAAGAAGCUGGUGGGGGAAUUCGUUGCCUUCUUGAAGAAGCUUAUAUCAUAGGUUUCAUGAAAAGUUAUCUGCCACCAAAGUUGAAAAACUGCUGCUAGCCUUGGUUGGUUACUGGUUUCUUUAGGCUCAUUACGUUUUCUUUUUCCAAAAUUGUUGCUUUUGUGUCGUGUUGGUCAGUUGAACCAUUUGGCUAUUGCAGUUUCCAGUGACAAAAUCACAAUAUUGCUACAUGUUGGGCUAUGGUUAAAUAGUAACAGAGUUAAGAGGACAAGUUUGAGCAAUUGAAUAUAGGUAUUCUUUUAUGACAAAAAAAUUUAGUAGAGGGACAAAUGAUACUAAUAACAAUCCAUUUAAAUCAGCGAAACUUUGUACCAAAGAAAAGGAUCGAAGUUCCAUGUCAUACAUGUGAGAGGUCAUCUUUUUGGAACAUAUUACUCCUUUCUUCCAAAGUUGGCAGCACCCCCUCAAUUAACUCUCAACAGUGAAAGUAAUACAUUAAACAUGCCAACUACCUAAUCUUGCCCUACACUGUAGUACAACAUGCUUUUUGGAUUUCUUUUUCCAAUUUGUGCAAUAAAAUAUUAAAAAAAAAAGGCAGUAUGUUCCGUUUGUGACAGAGGGCCUCCAAGCUUAAGCAGGUACCAGACUAGGAAGAACAUGGAAAACUCAAGUAACUUACAAAGGAUAAACAACUCCACUUCAAAUAAGCAUCACACCAGUCAAAAUUUUUAACAAUCACAUUUUAGAUUGGCUGGAAUACAAUCUUUUCUUUUUUUUCCUUCAAGAGAUGCAAAUGGUACUCCUGCACACAUUUUCCCACAAAUGAAACCCAUAUAAACAUCAACUGUAACCGGAAAUUAUUAUAGAAUUUAAAGGUCAGUCAUAUAUAAGAAUCAUCAAUAAAUUAUGGGAAUAUGACCAUAUGCUGCAAAAUGUCCUUUUGCGAGUCAAUCAAGAAAAUUGUUUCCUACUGGCUGGACUCUAACCAAAAAUAUAGCUAUUUAAAGAGUCAAAUUUUACGCAGAAGUCCUGAACAUACCUUGUUUCUUAGUAAAGAGGCGCAUCCUAUCUCCACAUUCGUCUUACCACCAACGACCAUGGUUGCUUUAGGCUUUUGUACUACUAUGAGCCAUCACUGACCAAGCCUCUACAACAGAUGCAGCAUAGAUGAGGACAGAUUCCUGUUUCUGAGAGCAGCUAAAUAUUCAAAAUUUCUCAAAAGCUGCUAUUCCAGCCAAAUCAUGGGCAUUUGUGUACCAAAAAAGAAAUGUACAAUCCAGUAAAAGAAUCAGAUAAUAUCCCCGAAACUCCCUACCAGGAGUGCAGAACCCAAUCUAGCUACAAGGGUGUAAAUUAUAUGUCUAUUAAAUAUACAUGAUCUCUAGUGACAGGUGCACUGUGAUCAUUGACAAUCUCAUUUACCAAGUGAAUGGAAAAGUUGACAACCUGUUUGCAGCAUAUACCUUCUCAACACCCCAGUCUAAACAUUUCUUUAAAAGAAAUUCAGGAAGGGCAAUUAAUUGAGUCAUCAGAAUCAUAUUCGGAAAAUAAAUCACAAUCUGACUCCACUUCAGAAUCAAGACCACUUUCACCCGCUUUAUCACCAAGAACAAUCUUUGAUGGGUCCUCAAGACCUACAUUGGCAGUUUUCUUGUAUAAGCCCCUGCUUCUAUCCAUAAAUCCUUUUCUCAUCAUGCUUGCAAAUCUUUCUCUAAUAUCAACAAGUGGAUGUCUCUGAAUAAGUUGUUGACAAUCAUAGGCUUCCCUAAGAACAACAGUUUGUGUAUCACACAUCUUGGAAAUAUAAAAGAUGCCAGGAUGGCGCUCAAACACCUUAGUAAACUUCUGAGGCAGUGACAAUGGUUUGUGUAGAUUACUCACAUUUUGCCAUUCAGUUUUCUUCUGUAUGGUAAGGUGAAGAAGCUCAUGAAACACGCCCACAAUUCUCUUCUCUGACACAUCAGUACGUGGAUCCAAGUGAGAGGCAUCAACAUAAGGUGACGUAUAAGGUAGUUUCUGCCAUUCUCUUAACCACUCCGUGCAUUUCCUCUUCAAUCCAAAACCCCUUGUAAAUCCUAUUGGAAAUGCUAAACAGUUAUUUUUCAAAUCUUCCUCCAUUUGCAGAAAAGCAUUCUUCUCUAAUUGGGAGACAGCAAGUGUAUCAUCCCAUGAUAAAAGUUUCAAACCAAAGCGAUCGUCAGCAACGUGAACAAAAGAAAAUAAAUCAGGGUAACAUGGAAUGAAGGUUUUGCUGUAAUUAUAAGGCAAUCCCAUAUCCCAUUUCAGCUGGUCGAUAGUUUGUAAGGGAAGGGUCCUAUCCUUGGUAAGCAUCAGCAAUUUGCAGAGCCUGUCAAGCAAAUCAAUCACACUCUCCUGGAUAACACCAACUUCUUCAUGGUAAAGAUUUAAGGCUUCGGCGGUCAACUCAAAGCAAGGAACACGAGUGCCACUGCUGUCAAACACAUAAGACUCAUGAAAAGUAGUAGGGUAUCUCCUCAUAAAUGUGGAUAGCUUAAGAUCAUGGGGCAGACCGAGUUGACCACGAUACCAGGUAAGAUGGUAAAUGGGGAGACGGCAAUUGGAAGCAGAGGAAAUGAUGGAAACAAGAUUGCAGGCUGCUCUUAAAUCUCUUUCAGCAGCAAUAACGGCAUCUAAGGCUUUAUCUUUAACCCAUUUCAACUUAACAUAAACUAGACUGAAAUUCUGCUGGUAAUUAAAUCCCCUCCUCAACAAACAUGAAAAGCUAGAAACUUUAGCUUUUCCACACAAAAACCACUAACCCAUGUCCUUAUUUAAAUAGAAAAAUGAUUAUAAAUCAAUAAUAAGAUGCUCCCAAGUUCACCAAUAAAACAGCCUUAGCAACAUCUACAGUGACAAAGACAAAUACCCAGAUUAAGAUUUUUGGUAAAUUCUGCAUAAACUGCUUGGUAAAGUAAAUAAACAAGAGAAAAAGACCAAAAAGGAAAAAUAGUUAAUUCCUCUGAGACAAUUUAUCAAACAUAAUGCCGCGAUAUGAAAACUGCUUACCUUAAUGAGGCUGAGCUGAAACACCUCAACGAUUAAAACUUGGAUGUCCUUUUAGAGGUUUUAAGUUUGAAUCUUGAGAAGAGACUGAGAAGCGUGAGAUUAUAAUCAUUACCAAAAAAAAAAUUGAAAGCAAAAUAUUUUAAAAAGUCGUGCGAAAUUUUCAAUUUGAAAGUAAAUUUGUGUCUGAGUGCAGCAAAAGCACUUUUAUUUUCAGGUAUUAACCAAGUACAGUAAGGAUUUAUAACAAUUUGAGUGCAUGAAUGGCAGGAGCAAGAAUGUUUUUGGAAGCAUAUUCAGUUGCUUGCAUUGAACACUAAACGGAAUGGGAGUGUAAUUUGCCACAUAUUGGUACAAAAACUAGUUUAAUUAGAAAAAAAAAUUUGAGACCCAAAUUUUACUUUCCUAGAAAAAAAAAUAACAUGCCUAAAUAAUCAUAUGUUUUGUAUUUACAUCUAUGAUUAGAGUUUUAUGUAAUUUUAUCAAUAUAAUAGAGUUAGAUUAAACCCUUUCAUAAGUUUAAACUAUCACUUCUUUAUUUUUAUUUUUCUGUUUUAUCAUUUAAGAAUAGUUAAAAUUGAAACUUAUUUUUCUUCAAAAAAAAAACUUAUUUAUGAAAUUAUGAUAAAAAUUUUCAAAUUUGACUUGAAAACUUUUACAUGUAAUGAAGUAAAAUAAAACUUUAAUCUUCACUUUCCAAGUUCAAAUUUUAUGGUUGAAAUAAAAAAAAUUAGCAACAAAAAGAGUUAAUGGAAGAAUGAGAUGAAAUAAUUUCAUACAAAGUCAACAAGUGAUACAUUUAAACAAUACAACAUGUACCAACUUUAUUGUCAUUACAAUCACACUGUCAAAUUAAAGGGAAUUUCUAGACUAAAUAAACAAAAGCAAUCCAAACCUCACACAUUCUAAGUUCAGAUGCCUACAUUACAUUUAAACUUAUAAUUGAAAAAUAAGUUAUAAUUACAAAAAUAACAAGCAUGACAAGUAACAAAGUAUGGACCAUACUCUGCCUGGGUUUCCUUGCAAAUUAAGUGGAAGUUUUCAAGUAUCUUGACCAAUAACACUUCUGUCCUGCCUUUUCUCAAGAAGAGAAUUACUCUCAUAGAUCAAUUGGUUCUGUACAUUUCCAAUGGACAAUAUAGUUACAUCCAAGAGUAGCACAUUCAAGAGCCAAUUCUUUACAAGGCUCACCACAUUCAAUGCAUUGAGGGUAGUAAUAAAUCUUCUUCACAAAGAUGAGAGGAUGUGGAUGAUCUCCUUCUUUGUAGGUACUCCCGAGUUUGAUAUAUCGAUAGUCUUCAAGAACACAAUCCUUAUGAGCAGAAGUAUCACAAGUUGCACAAUGAUAAAACCAAUAAUUUGAAUUUCUUCUCUCCUCACAAAUGUCACAAUAAUGACAUUCUGAAUAAUCAUUAUCAUCUUUAUAAGUGAGUACAAAAACAUGUUCAUCGCAUUUGUGUCGAGUUGUAGUUGGUAGAGCAACACAUGUCACACAUAAAGCAAAAUUGCAACCCUUACAACAGUAUCCUUCAUCCAUGUCAUCACCACAACCACAACACUUCCCUUCAUACUCGACAUAAAGAAGGAGGGGGUGUUUAUGUCCUUGACAUGUUAGAGUAUCAGGAGUUAGAGACAUACAUCGAAGGCAUACACGAUCGCCACAUUCGUUACAUCUAUAGGCAAAGCCAUUGGAUAGGUAACGACAUGAUUCACAUCUAAAAAUGCAGUCAGAAAUGAGGAUGAAGGAACUUUGCUGGCAAUAAUGAAACCAAACAUGCUUCAUCAUCUUAGGUAAUUCAGCACAGGCUUUAUGAAGAAAGAAAUCACAUUCUAAACAAUAGUAAAAGGAAGCUGAGAUAGGUAACAUGCACGCCUCACAAUAUUUAUCAUACUCCGCAAUUUUCUCACUUAACAUCAACUCAUGCAUAUGCUUGAAAUGUUUUAUUUUUGUGGCUUCUCCAGCAUCAUUCCUCUCAAUAACACAAGUGAUGGAGUCGAUAGAUUCA